CAUUUCUUUCCUCCAGAUACAGGGCGGUUCAUCUCUCACAUGAGGGUCUUACGAUCUACUUGCAGGAAAGGAAAGACGAUGCGAGGACACAGUGAGAAGAUAGCGUCCACAAACCAGAAAAAGAGAGCUCACCAGAAACCAACCCUGACAACAUCUUGAUCUUGGAGUUCCAGCCUCCAGAACUGGAAAAAAAUAAAAUUUAGCCCAAGAAAAAAAUUAACCCAUUGUUGUGGCUCCCUGGGGCUGAACUUAUCAAGA
rnacentral:lncRNA from 1 species